rnacentral:rRNA from 1 species
ACGGCUCAGUAACACGUGGACAACCUACCCUGAAGAGGGGGAUAACCCCGGGAAACUGGGGAUAAUACCCCAUAGACUAUGGAUGCUGGAAUGCUUUGUAGUUGAAAGGUCCGCCGCUUCAGGAUGGGUCUGCGGCCGAUUAGGUUGUUGUUGGGGUAACGGCCCAACAAGCCUGUAAUCGGUACGGGUUGUGGGAGCAAGAGCCCGGAGAUGGAUUCUGAGACACGAAUCCAGGCCCUACGGGGCGCAGCAGGCGCGAAAACUUUACAAUGCGAGAAAUCGUGAUAAGGGAACUCCGAGUGCCCGUAAAAUCGGGCUGUCCGCCAGUGUAAAUAACUGGUGAAGAAAGGGCCGGGCAAGACCGGUGCCAGCCGCCGCGGUAAUACCGGCGGCUCGAGUGGUGGCCACUAUUACUGGGCUUAAAGCGUUCGUAGCUGGUCUGUUAAGUCUCUGGGGAAAUCUUCCGGCUUAACCGGAAGGCGUCUCAGGGAUACUGGCAGACUAGGGACCGGAAGAGGUGAGAGGUACUCCAGGGGUAGGAGUGAAAUCCUGUAAUCCUUGGGGGACCACCUGUGGCGAAGGCGUCUCACCAGGACGGCUCCGACAGUGAGGAACGAAAGCUGGGGGAGCAAACCGGAUUAGAUACCCGGGUAGUCCCAGCUGUAAACGAUGCGCGUUAGGUGUAUCGGUGACCACGAGUCACCGAGGUGCCGAAGAGAAAUCGUGAAACGCGCCGCCUGGGAAGUACGGUCGCAAGGCUGAAACUUAAAGGAAUUGGCGGGGGAGCAC